GACGUAGGGCGCGAGCGUUGUCCGGAUUUAUUGGGCGUAAAGAGCUCGUAGGCGGCUUGUCGCGUCGUUCGUGAAAACCUGCGGCUCAACUGCAGGCUUGCGGUCGAUACGGGCAGGCUGGAGUUCGGUAGGGGAGACUGGAAUUCCUGGUGUAGCGGUGAAAUGCGCAGAUAUCAGGAGGAACACCGGUGGGCGAAGGCGGAUCUCUGGGCCGAUACUGACGCUGGAGGAGC
rnacentral:rRNA from 1 species